rnacentral:rRNA from 1 species
GCCAUGCCGCGUGUGUGAAGAAGGCCUUCGGGUUGUAAAGCACUUUCAGCGAGGAGGAAAGGUUGGUGGCUAAUAUCCACUGGCUGUGACGUUACUCGCAGAAAAAGCACCGGCUAACUCCGUGCCAGCAGCCGCGGUAAUACGGAGGGUGCAAGCGUUAAUCGGAAUUACUGGGCGUAAAGCGCACGCAGGCGGUUGGAUAAGUUAGAUGUGAAAGCCCCGGGCUCAACCUGGGAAUUGCAUUUAAAACUGUCCAGCUAGAGUCUUGUAGAGGGGGGUAGAAUUCCAGGUGUAGCGGUGAAAUGCGUAGAGAUCUGGAGGAAUACCGGUGGCGAAGGCGGCCCCCUGGACAAAGACUGACGCUCAGGUGCGAAAGCGUGGGGAGCAAACAGGAUUACAUACCCUGGUAGUCCCCGCCGUAAACGAUGUCAAUUUGGAGGCUGUGUCCUUGAGACUUGGCUUCCGGAGCUAACGCGUUAAAUCGACCGCCUGGGGAGUACGGCCGCAAGGUUAAAACUCAAAUGAAUUGACCGGGGCCCGCACAAGCUGUGGAGCAUGUGGUUUAAUUCGAUGCAACGCUAAGAACCUUACCUGGCCUUGACAUGUCU